UGGGGAAUCUUGCACAAUGGGGGCAACCCUGAUGCAGCGACGCCGCGUGAGCGAUGAAGCCCUUCGGGGCGUAAAGCUCUUUCGACCGGAACGAUAAUGACGGUACCGGGAGAAGAAGCCACGGCUAACUACGUGCCAGCAGCCGCGGUAAUACGUAGGUGGCAAGCGUUGUCCGGAUUUACUGGGCGUAAAGGAUGCGUAGGCGGAUACUUAAGUCAGAUGUGAAAAUCCCGGGCUUAACUUGGGAACUGCAUUUGAAACUGGGUAUCUAGAGUGCGGGAGAGGAAAGUGGAAUUCCUAGUGUAGCGGUGAAAUGCGUAGAGAUUAGGAAGAACACCAGUGGCGAAGGCGACUUUCUGGACCGUAACUGACGCUGAGGCAUGAAAGCGUGGGGAGCAAACA
rnacentral:rRNA from 1 species